rnacentral:rRNA from 1 species
UCGAACGAGAACGGUACUAGCUUGCUAGUAUGUCAGCUAAGUGGCGGACGGGUGAGUAAUGUAUAGUUAAUCUGCCCCUUAGAGAGGGAUAACUACUGGAAACGGUAGCUAAUACCUCAUACUCCUUCUAGUGUAAUGCUAGUUGGGAAAUGUUUUUUCGCUAAGGGAUGAGACUAUAUGGUAUCAGGUAGUUGGUGGGGUAAGAGCCUACCAAGCCAAUGACACCUAGCUGGUCUGAGAGGAUGAUCAGCCACACUGGAACUGAGACACGGUCCAGACUCCUACGGGAGGCAGCGGUGGGGAAUAUUGCACAAUGGGGGAAACCCUGAUGCAGCAACGCCGCGUGGAGGAUGACACACUUCGGUGCGUAAACUCCUUUUAUAUGGGAAGAUAAUGACGGUA